AGCUUUGCGCAGUGGCAGUAUCGUAGCCAAUGAGGUUUAUUCAAGGUGCCAUUACUGCUAAUUGAAAACUAUUAUUAUCAGAAGAAAACAGGUUAGAUAACCUACUUAAAUUAACAUGCCUUGUCCUGCAAACAGCUGC
ensembl:snRNA LOC120094544 U4 spliceosomal RNA